GGACUGAGGAGUACAAACGUGAUCAGGCUUCAGGAAGAAGCGCCUGAAACCUCACAGGCCAGUCUUGGUGAAGCAGAAUGCACAUAACAGAAUCAGAAGAUACCUGUACAGCUCUACAUCAGCUUGUAAAUUGGCAUUAAGAAGUUCUUGGGCCACACCAGGAUUGGUAUAGAUGGGUUAAUUACAGAAGACCACAAAAAGAAAUCUUGGCAGUCUAUCUAGAAGUGAAGGAGGUGUGUGGGGGCUGGAGCUUCCACUUGGAGAAGAAGAGAGCUGUAAAGCUGAAGCAUUCGACGUACAUGUACACUUUUUUCCUCCAUUAAACUUGCUGAAUUCUACGUUAGGCGGUGAGAAUUUCAUUUACAGUGUGUAGAAUCAUGGCCCUUGGUAUGAACUGGAUCAGAAAGAAUAUACUGACUUCCUGUGUACACAAUCUGCACAGCCUGCAAGUAGACCCUACAAGAUCGUUCACUGGAGUGUGCGGACAUGUUGCCACUUAAAGCCUCAACUAUUGAACAAAGUGGAGAGCAAGAAAAGCUAGUCUCUGUAAGUCCC